UUCUAAGGGCGGUGAAGUCAGACCGGAAGGACUGGUGGAGCGCUUAGAAGUGAGAAUGCCGGUAUGAGUAGCGAAAGAAGGGUGAGAAUCCCUUCCACCGAAUAUCUAAGGUUUCCUGAGGAAGGCUCGUCCGCUCAGGGUUAGUCGGGACCUAAGCCGAGGCCGAUAGGCGUAGGCGAUGGACAACAGGUAGAGAUUCCUGUACCAGUGCUAAUUGUUUAACCGAUGGGGUGACACAGAAGGAUAGGGAAUCGCACGAAUGGAAAUGUGCGUCCAAGCAGUGAGUGUGAGAAGUAGGCAAAUCCGCUUCUCGCGAAGCAUGAGCUGUGAUGGGGAAGGAAAUUAAGUACGGAAGUUCCUGAUUUCACGCUGUCAAGAAAAGCCUCUAGGAAGAGUAGUACUGCCCGUACCGCAAACCGACACAGGUAGAUGAGGAGAGAAUCCUAAGGUGAGCGAGAGAACUCUCGUUAAGGAACUCGGCAAAAUGACCCCGUAACUUCGGGAGAAGGGGUGCUCUAUUAGGGUGCAAGCCCGAGAGAGCCGCAGUGAAUAGGCCCAGGCGACUGUUUAGCAAAAACACAGGUCUCUGCAAAACCGUAAGGUGACGUAUAGGGGCUGACGCCUGCCCGGUGCUGGAAGGUUAAGAGGAGUGCUUAGCUUCGGCGAAGGUACGAAUUGAAGCCCCAGUAAACGGCGGCCGUAACUAUAACGGUCCUAAGGUAGCGAAAUUCCUUGUCGGGUAAGUUCCGACCCGCACGAAAGGCGCAACGAUCUGGGCACUGUCUCAACGAGAGACUCGGUGAAAUUAUAGUACCUGUGAAGAUGCAGGUUACCCGCGACAGGACGGAAAGACCCCGUGGAGCUUUACUGCAACCUGAUAUGGAAUGUUUGUACCGCUUGUACAGGAUAGGUAGGAGCCGAAGAGACGUGUGCGCUAGCAUACGAGGAGGCAAUGGUGGGAUACUACCCUGGCUGUAUGACCAUUCUAACCCGCCACGCUUAGCGCGUGGGGAGACAGUGUCAGGUGGGCAGUUUGACUGGGGCGGUCGCCUCCUAAAGAGUAACGGAGGCGCCCAAAGGUUCCCUCAGAAUGGAUGGAAAUCAUUCGCAGAGUGUAAAGGCACAAGGGAGCUUGACUGCGAGACUGACAAGUCGAGCAGGGACGAAAGUCGGGCUUAGUGAUCCGGUGGUUCCGCAUGGAAGGGCCAUCGCUCAACGGAUAAAAGCUACCCCGGGGAUAACAGGCUUAUCUCCCCCAAGAGUCCACAUCGACGGGGAGGUUUGGCACCUCGAUGUCGGCUC
rnacentral:rRNA from 1 species